GUAAGUACCAUAGCUUACAAUAUUAAUUCAAUUCCUCCAAAAAGUAUACACAAUUAAUCGCCAUAAAUUCUCCACUUCUAUUGUCUACGAAAUGCGUUCAUAUGCUCUUGCAGUUAAAGGCAGUGAAAAAUGGUCUAAUGCUACUUGCGAUCUGAGAGUUAUAUCAGUCCAGAAAUCAUCCCAUGCAUCAGUUUCAAGAUUGCAGACAAAAGGUUUCGUCAUUUGUUUAGCAGAUAAGUGAAAAUCUAAAAACACUUCCACAGACGAAAAAAAAGGGCAAUAAGAACAUCAAGCAAUUGAUUUGAAGAUGGCGUGCGGUUGGUUUUAUCUACACUGGGGGAUAAGUGCCUCCACAUCUCUUGAUUCGAGUGCUCCAUCUUCCAGGUACUUGAUCUGCAUGAGUUUAUAUUGACUCUUUCUGUGACUCAUUCUAAGAACUCCCAAAAUUUUCCCUGUCAACCUCAUGUUUGUGUUCGUCACCUUUCUCCGACAGAAAUUCUGUGGUGAAGCAUUUAACUCAUGUUUAUGCUCAUCACCUUUUGUCUGAACUUUAUGCCUGAGAUCCUUUUUUUUAAGGCUCAAGGUGUGGGCAACAGUUCUUCUAAGCUUUGUUCCAAGGUAGUGGGAAAGACUUACUGAACUGAGUUCAUAAUAUCAUGUGGGAGUCGGUUAGUUUAGUGCUUAUGAUCCGAAUGAUUCUUUACUCUUUAUCCAAAUAUUUUUUUAUUGUCGUGUUUAUGCUAAUUUUGCUACUCUUGUAACAAACAAAUAAAUGAUUGCUAAGUACUAGGAGUGUUGUACACAAAGUUUAAAAUACGUCAUACCUUCAAUAGAGUGGACUAUUUAUUUAUUUUGAAAUAAUUAACAUUAAGUGAGAUUCGAAUUCAAGAUUUUAUAAUCUGUACAUGACUUUUAAGUAUUAUUGAGUUAAACUUCAUUCCCAGUUAUUUAUUUGAUGUUAUAGUCUCUGCAAAUAAAUUUUCCAUAUUUAGGAGCUCAAUGCCCACAUGUUAUAUUUCAUCCAAAUAAUCUUUUCAGCGUCACUAGUAGACUAGUAGUCUAGUACUGUGAUUACAAUUUCAGCAUUCGUAAAUUUCUUCCAUUAUGUCAAGCCAUUUGAAUUCCUUUGUAUCAUUGUAUGACAUUCUAGCAAAUUAUUUCUCAACUAUCAUUUAUAAUGAGAUGAAAGAAAAUACUUAAAAUAGUGUUCCAUUUCACAUUAUCUUAAAGGAAAAUGACUCAGUAAGCCGGUACUCAGGAGCUUAAUAAAUGCGCAUCCUGUAUUGCACAGGAUGCCUAACUGACACAACGAGUUACAGGCAUAACCUGCAUGACCCUUGCCUUGUCACUUACCUUUUAUUGAACUAUAGAAGCAACUUCAACUAGUUCCAGUGUUAUACUGCCAUUCAUGCCAGAAUUGUUAACCCAGCAGUAACCUAAUUAAUAUUUCCAUGUGUCUGUCCUUGCCGAUGGUAGAGGUGAUUCCUAAAUUGACAAUACGUAAGUUGUAAAGGGUAUCUAAAGUCAAACCAAAAAGUUGCAGUAAUGCUAAUGCACACCAAGUACAGACAUGCCAAUCCCAUUGUUAUAAUUGCUGUAGUAACAAACAUCACAUUGUUAAUUUAAUUUAGUAAAAAUUGAUGGAUUAAUUAAGGUUAAGCAAAUGAUAUAGGAAGUGUAGAAUGUAGAUUAAUUUAUUGUUGUGACCAAUGAGAGGUUAACAAAGGCAGGGAGGCAGCUUUUGCUUUAUAAAUACAGAGAAAGGGAGGACUCUGUUCUUCCACUGCGGCUUGCAGGGUUGGUUGUUGGUUGGUUUGGGUUGUUUUACUUUGUGCAGGCCAAAAUGGUUCUCUCCCUUUCCCAUUUCACACUUGUACUGCUCUUUUCUUGUUUUGCUUCUUCUUUGCUUCUCUGCCAUGGCUUUCCUGCCCUCCCCCAACACCAUCACCGCUCUCGUUCUGCCAGUCACAACUACAGAGAUGCUCUCACCAAAUCAAUCCUCUUCUUUGAGGGCCAGAGGUCAGGCAAGCUUCCUUCUAACCAGAGGAUCACUUGGAGGAGAGAUUCGGGUCUCUCAGAUGGAGCAGCCAUGCAUGUGGAUUUAGUAGGAGGGUAUUAUGAUGCAGGGGACAAUGUGAAA
rnacentral:misc_RNA from 1 species